GCCACCGGCCAAACCACGUUGAGUACGCCGGUUCUCAUCCGAUCACCGAAGCUAAACAACGUUGGGCCCGGGUAGUACUUGGAAGGGAGACUGCGUGCCAACACCAAGUGUUGAUGGCA
rnacentral:rRNA from 1 species